rnacentral:rRNA from 1 species
AACGAACGCUGGCGGCAGGCUUAACACAUGCAAGUCGAACGGUUGUAGCAAUACAGCAGUGGCGCACGGGUGAGUAACGCGUGGAUAUCUGCCUUUUGGUUCGGAAUAACUCCGGGAAACUGGAGCUAAUACCGAAUGGUUCCUACGGGAUAAAGAUUUAUCGCCAAAAGAUGAGUCCGCGUACGAUUAGCUAGUUGGUGGGGUAAUGGCCCACCAAGGCGACGAUCGUUAGCUGGUCUGAGAGGACGAUCAGCCACACUGGGACUGAGACACGGCCCAGACUCCUACGGGAGGCAGCAGUGGGGAAUAUUGGACAAUGGGGGCAACCCUGAUCCAGCCAUGCCGCGUGAGUGAUGAAGGCCUUCGGGUUGUAAAGCUCUUUUGGCGGGGACGAUGAUGACGGUACCCGCAGAAUAAGCCCCGGCUAACUUCGUGCCAGCAGCCGCCGUAA